CGGCAAACGGGUGCGUAACACGUUGAUAUCUCCCCCGAAGUCAGGGAUAGCCUAGAGAAAUCUAGAGUAAUACCGGAUGGUCCCGUAAGGGUAAAGGAGCAAUUCGCUUCGGGAAGAGUCUGCGGCCUAUCAGCUAGUUGGCGGGGUAAUAGCCCACCAAGGCGAUGACGGGUAGCUGGUCUGAGAGGACGACCAGCCACAAUGGAACUGAGACACGGUCCAUACUCCUACGGGAGGCAGCAGUGAGGAAUCUUCCACAAUGGGCGAAAGCCUGAUGGAGCGACACCGCGUGAAGGAUGAAGCCUUUGUUGGUGUAAACUUCUUUUCUCUAGGAAGAUAAUGACGGUACUAGAGGAAUAAGGGGCGGCAAACUUCGUGCCAGCAGCCGCGGUAAUACGAAGGCCCCAAGCGUUAUCCGGAAUUACUGGGCGUAAAGCGUCUGUAGGUGGUUCGGAAAGUUUCAAGUGAAAGGUCAGGGCUCAACCCUGUACUUGCUUGGAAAAC
rnacentral:rRNA from 1 species